rnacentral:rRNA from 1 species
AACCGGAUUAGAUACCCUGGUAGUCCACGCUGUAAACGAUGGGAACUAGGUUUGGUGGGUCUUGACCCCCGCCGAACCGGCGCUAACGCAAUAAGUUCCCCGCCUGGGAAGUACGGUCGCAAGACUAAAACUCAAAGGAAUUGACGGGGGCCCGCACAAGCGGUGGAUCAUGUGGUUUAAUUCGAAGCAACGCGAAGAACCUUACCUGGAUUUGACAUCCUCGGACAACCCUAGAGAUAGGGCUUUCGUAGCAAUACGACCGAGAGACAGGUGCUGCAUGGCUGUCGUCAGCUCGUGUGGUGACAUGUUGGGUUAAGUCCCGCAACGAGCGCAGCCCUUGUCUUUAGUUGCCAGCAUUCAGUUGGGCUCUCUAAAGAGACUGCCGUGGUUAACACGGAGGAAGGUGGGGAUGACGUCGAGUCCUCAUGGCCUUUAUAUCCAGGGCGACACACGUGAUACAAUGGACGGUACAGAGGGACGCGAACCCGCGAGGGGGAGCUAAUCUCAAAAAGCCGUUCUCAGUUCGGAUUGGAGUCUGCAACUCGACUCCAUGAAGUUGGAAUCGCUAGUAAUCGCGGAUCAGCACGCCGCGGUGAAUACGUUCCCGGGCCUUGUACACACCGCCCGUCACACCAUGGGAGCUGACUCAACCAGAAGACGGUCAGGGUAACCGCAAGGAGCCCUCCGGCGAAGGUGGGGUUGGUG